rnacentral:tRNA from 1 species
GGAGGGCACAACUCAGUGGUUGAGUACGUGCUUUGCAGGCACAAGGUCCUGGGUUCAAUCCCCAGCACUUCCA